rnacentral:lncRNA from 1 species
UUUUUUUUUUUUUUUGCUUUAAUAGAAAUGUGCCUUAGUGUUAGAGAAUUGGGUUAUUAGCUAAAGUGAGAUAAAUAUUUAUAGUUAGCUCUUUAGAAGAGCUUUCCCUAAAUUUAACAUCUUUCUUUAAAUCUAGGUACUCAGAAUAUGCAGUUGUCAAAUAGCAUUUAGUAAAAUCUUGCCCGUGGAAUAUCACCACCCCAGCCCAUUAUAUUAAUGUCUAUUUAAAUAAAACUCAAAAUUAUACAGGAAUCUCUUACCCCCUGCUAUUACGCUUACUCAGAUCUAAUUUGCUUCUUCCUUAAGGCUAAAGUGAUCAAAUAUUUCCUCUUUUACUAAGAUGCUCAAUUCUUUUUAAAAGCUCUGUCUUCUGGUCCUAAGAAAGAUCCUUAGAACUACUAAAACAUCUUAUUUUUCUGGCAGUAGGGAAAAAAAAAAAAAAAAAAAACACCCAUCCUGGAACCCUUUGAAAGGUUCCUGAAUGUUCAAAUUAGGGGACUUUUUUUUUUCUCUCCUUGUAAUUACGGCUGCCAAUCCAUACAUAUCCCAUUAGCCAGCUCAGGCUCAGCUCCAGGAAUCUUACAGAAAUAGAACCAUCCUGGAGUGACCCUUUUCUAGGAAAUGAAGGAAUCUGCCAUGUGUUCUACUCCUUCCAUUUUUGGCCUCUCUGGCCCUCAGAGAUUUCCCUGGGAGCCAUUCCCAGGUCGGCCUUCUCUUCCAAAGCCCUCCCUCCUCCCUUCACCUAAUUCCAGCCUCGCCUCACAUCCUGGACUGUAAUGCUUCCAGCAGACAAGCUUUUCUAUCUCAUAAUUUACUGGCCCGUAGGAAAAAGGUCCCAAGAAGGCAAGGCAAUUGGACCACAGUCUCUUAACAUAAGCUACCAUUGGGCCAACUAACCUACGUUUCCCGGCCAGCAGUUUAAUGCAAGUAUUUGUCUUUGGAAGCCUAUAAUCACCUGUGUCAACCGUGGUGGCUCCACUGUCUAAAUAACUCAAACUUAACAGCAUGCUCUUUGAGGGUCACCAAGUGGGAACUGUAGAGAUACACAGCAGGCAAAAUGGUAUAAAAUAUGUAUCUGAUUAAGCUCCAAAGGGAUCCGGAGGAGAGUUAGUUGAUGAAGUUUACUCCUUAAUACAGGAAAACAUGUGCUUGCUGGAUUCAGGGCUGAUUACUCCCUUAAAAUGAUAAUUCUUAUUUCAGGGUUUCUUUAAAAUAUUUAGUGUUCCGGGGCACCUGGCUGGCUCAGUCGGUUAAGCGUCUGUCUUGUGAUUUGGGCUCAGACCAUGAUCUCAGGGUUGUGCUCCUCACUCAGUGGAGAAUCUGCUUGAGAUUCUCUCUUUCUCUCCCUCUGCCUUUCCCUGUCCCCCCUCCCCGUCCCCUUCUAAAUAAAACAAAAUUAGUUUUCCUGAGUGUGCGUGUGUUUACAAAGCACUAAAUAUUCUUUAUGCUCUUUACUUUUCCACUAUGUCCCUUUUCCAUGGAUAGAAAAUGCAAUCCUGAUAAGAGGGGGUAAAUCCAACUAACAAAGAACCUUCCUAUGCAUCUCUUCUCCCUUUCUCCCUUGCCCCUACCCCUGGCCUUCUGAGGUACAGCUGGCGUAUUCACAACCACGAUGACCUAAAGGAUCCAGAUACUGCAGGUGGUUAAGACUAAUUCCCCCGGGGACCAGACCAUUAUGCACCAAGUGUUUACCACAGGAGUCCAUUCUGACUGGACAGCUUGUCUAUUCUUUUAUUUUUUCCCAAGAUUUUAUUUAUUUAUUCAUGAGACCCAGAGAGAGAGGCAGAGACUCAGGCAGCGGGACAAUCAGGCUCCAUGCAGGGAGCCCGAUGCGGAACUCAAUCCCAGGACCUCGGGAUCACACCCUGAGCUGAAGGCAGAUGCUCAACCACUGAGCCACCCACGGGCCCUGAGAAAUUCAUUUAAAUAUAAAAAAAGACAAAACAAUGGGGUCAACUCCACAAAUAUUCCACUGUUUUAUAUCAUUAGAAUCAAUUUGAUUAAAGUCCUAACAUAAUGUGUAUUUUCUUCUUCAUGUCAGCUGAUUUUGUAAAUCUGUUGUUUCAAAAUGCACUUCAUAGGUCCCACUUGUUUGAGUAUUUGGCUCUUUCCUUUCUUUUUCCUUGAAUGCAAUUGAUGACAAAUGUUUAGCGUGGUUAGGUCAUUGGUUAGAUAGCACAUAGGAUGUCCUGAAUUGCUUAGUACUGAAUCAGAACACUGAUUUUCUCCCCGUCACACCUGGCAACUGUUAGGCAUCUCCCAAGUCUUUAGGGUAUUUCAGAACACGGUGUUCUUGGAGGUUUCAAAACAUGACCAGUACCUCCUUCUCAGCCACUUACGGACAAUCUCAUUGAUUCCUCCUUAGCUCAUCACAAUCGGUUCUGAGUUUCCUUUUCAGAGAUGUUGAAAGUAACUAGGAUCCUCACCCAUGUUCUAAUUCUCGUGACCACUGUCUGCCACUGAAUUCAUGGAGUGUGUCGGUGGGAGGCCAAACACUUGGACUGGGCUCCGAGCAGAACCUGUCGGUGCAGCUGAAGAAGGCCGAGAAGCAGGAAGAGCAAGACUUCAUUUGAGGAGAGAGGUUCUAAGGGUGAGGCUAUCUGGUGUAAUUGCCCAAGACAGGAUUUAUUAGGCAUGUUUUACAAAUAUUUUAUGAGAAAACAUUUGUGUAGAAGUAAUGAUGCCCUUUAGGAAGUGUCAUUAGGACACACUCUGGCAAAUCGGGGGUGAUUAAAAAGCACUUAGUGGCUCCAAGCCUCUGGUGAGCUGUGCUAGCAAAGGGAGGGUAUGAUGCACACUGCGUGUGCUGUUUGCUUCUCUGGUCAGGGCUCUCAUGCUCUUCAUGGAGCCGAGGCUAGAAGGUUGCAUAUGAGAAGGCCAGGGAAGCUCCCACGAAGCUAAGAACCUUAGAAAUUUGUCAGCUAACUGCAUCUGGUGGGAAAUGCUAAAGAAUGGAAUAGGUGGAAAAUGGGCAAUGCAGUACACAGGGAGACCUGCCAGAAAUCAGCCCCAUAAAACACCAGGUGAAACUGUUUACUGAAGCACCAUGGAGAGAUGAGAUGAGGUUGUGGCCAAAAGCCCAGGCUUUAGAAUCAAACUGACUGGCUCUGAAUCCUGCUUGUCCCACUAAAUGGCUGUGUGACCUUGAGCAAGUUAGUGAACCUCUCUGCUCUUCAUUCGUAAAAUGGUGAAAAUCAUCUCUCAGCUUGCUUUAAUAAUUCACUGAAUUAUUUGUGUAAAGUGCCUAGAGCAAAGUAAAGAACUUCAUCGGUCACUAUGUAUUUGGUAGGGAGUACAGUCACAUCGUCUGGUAUUUGGUGACUCUUGAGGUAGGGCUAGCAUUGACAACUGAAAUGCUCUCUUUUCCAUGAAGUCUUCCAUGAUUACCAAUGGCAUGAAAUAAUCUCCCCUCAAAUCCUGAAACGUCUUCAGCCCUCACGCAUCUUCUUUCUCCCUUCGCAAAUGACGGCACUUCCCAAGUGCAGUCAGAGGACCUCACCUCCUUCUGCAGCACUGUAUCUGCUCCAGGCUCCAGCGGUCACCUCUCUGCUCUGACUCUCAAAUCUUGGUCUUCCACUCAAUCUCGCUCUCAUUCCAAACCACAUUCCCUGAUCCUUGAUCACUGUCACCUCCCAGGGCCUCUCAGAUGAGCCGGGAACCCAAUCUGGUCCCUCAGUUUGUCCCCAACAAGAUGCCUUUUCCUCCUCCAUGAACUUGCUGACAUCACCACCCUCCCCUCUUCAGCAGUCCAUUCCUUUCAAGCACCUAUAGAAGCCCUCUCAGCACUUUCCCAUUCUGACCACCAGCAUCCUGUUGAAAGCUGCGUAGUGGCUGUACACAGUUUUCUCUUACAGUUAUUGACUAUUCUGUUCUAGGCACUGGGGCACUGGGUUCCGUGCUGGGUAGCUGAGCUGACUCAAAUCAGUGGCCAACACUUUUGAACAUUUUUAUGAAUUUGUCAGUAGUCCUUUGGGGGCAGUGUUACUUUUCAAAUUUUGCAGUACUAGUUAAACUGAGUUUUUUUGGGUAAAAUUAAAGGGUACCUUAUACAAAUAAUCUUAUGCAUUACGACAACGGAUAGCCCAGGUCAUGUCAAAUACUUUGACUAAUAAUUUGCAGAUCACUUGGAGGGGAGUAUGUUAUUUGAAGAAUGAAGAAAAGUGGACUACGUCCUAUACAAAAGCUUCUGCACAGCAAAAGAAACCAUCAAGAAAAUGAGAAGGUGGGUAGCCCGGGUGGCCCAGCGGUUUAGUGCUGCCUUCAGCUCAGGGCCUGAUCCUGGAGUCCCAGGAUUGAGUCCCAUGUCGGACUCCCUCUGCCUGUGUCUCUGCCUCUCUCUGUGUCUCUCAUGAAUAAAUAAAUAAAAUCUUUAAUAAAAAAAAAAAGAAAAAGAAAAUGAGAAGGUAACCUACCGAAUGGGAGAAAAUAUUUGCAAAUCAUAUAUCUGAUAAGAGGCUAAUACACAAAACAUAUAAAGACCUCAUACAACUCAAUGGCAAAACAAAGCAAAACGAAACAAAAAAACAAAAAACGGACAAAAAAUGGGUAGGAUCUGAAUAGACAUUUUUCCAAAGAAGAUAUACAGAUGCCCACCAAAAACAUGACAAUAUCACCAAUUAUCAGGAAAACAGCAAUCAAAUCUCCAAAGAAGUAUCAUUAAAAAAAAAAAAAGAAAAGAAAAGGCAAGAAAUAACAAGCGCGAGGACAUGGAGAAGAAGGGAACACUUGCACGCUGUUGGUGGGAAUGCAAACUGGUGCUGCCAUUGUGGGAAACAGCAUGGAGGUUCCUCAAAAAAUUAAAAAUAGAACUACCAUAUGAUCCAGCAAUUCCAUUUCUGGGUAUUCAUAAAAAAAAAUAAACAAACAACUCAUUUCAAAAUAAAUCUGCACUCCAGGUUCAUGCAGCAUUAUUUACAAUAGCCAAGAGAAGGAAUCAACCGAAGUGUCUGUCAGUGGGCCUAUGGGUAAAGAAAAUGUAUAUACAUACAUUCAUAUAAUGGAACACUAUUCAGUCAUUAAAAAAAAAACACUGAAAUCUUGCCACUUGAGACAUCAUGGCUGGAACUUGAGGAUAUUACGCUAAAUGAAAUGUCAGGCAGAGAAAGACAUAUGCUGUAUGAUUUUACUUAAAUGUGGAAUAAAAAAAAAUCAAAACUAAGCUCAUAAAUAUAGAGAACAGAUUGGUGAGUCGCCAGAGGCAAGGAAUGGGGAGUGAACAAAAUGGGUGAGGGGGUCAACAGCUACAAACUUUCAGUUACAAAUUAAAUAAGUCCUGGGGAUCUAAUGCACUAUAGAUAGGAUAGAGACUACUAGCCUGCAUAUUUGAAAGUUGCUAAGAGAGUCAAUCUAUUUUUUACAAACUUUUUUCCCCUUUCUUUUGGCUAGGAGAGUAAAUCUUAAAAAUUCUCAUCACACACACACAAAUUCUUUUUACUAGGUAUGGUGACUGAUGUUAACAAGAAUUAUUGGUAUUAUUGGUAUAUGGUGAUCAUUUUGCAAUAUAUGAUAAUUAUAUAAUGAAUCAUUAUAUUGUACAUGUGAAACUAAUACAAUGUUAUGUCAAUUAUAUCUCAAUUUUUUUAAAAAGGGAAAUCCAAUAGGAGAGGCUUCAUAAUUAUUAAAAGGACUAAUGGUAGGAGCAUGUACUAAAGCUGACUUGAGGGAUUGUUAAUUUUCCUCAGCUUCAGGAUGUGUGCAGGGGUUUAAGUGCUACUAAGAAGGCAAGAAACAGAACUAAUUCAAAAGCCCAAUCAUAAGGACUGGUGGGAUGUGCACAGAAAUGAGAUUAGAUCAAGAGAAAAAACAGGAUUUCCCGAAGAGCUCUGGAUGAUGUGUUUAUUCCCACCUCCAUACUCAAUCUAUUACCACCUAUUGAUUUAUUUUUUUCCCAGAUCACCAAACACUAACACACACUAUUUUAAUUAUUUGUUUAUUGUCUGCCUCUUGCCAUCUACGCUUUUUUUUUUCUUUUUUCUUUUUCCAAAUUAAAGAUCUUUGUGUAUGUGUUCACUGCCUAGGACUGCACCUAGCACAUGUCCAAUAUUCAAUAACAUUUUGGGUCAACAAAUAAAUUGGGGGUAGGAAUUCCCUUCCAGUGGACUUCUUUUAUAAGCAAUACUGUUUCUAAAGCUUUUCUACAAAGGAUGAAGUUAACAAAUAACUUCGGGGGGGGGGGGGAAGCUCUGCCACUUUAAGAGCAAAAUCUUCCAAAUAACAUGUUUCUUGAAGACUACCUGUUUGUGGAGGGGGAAAAAAAAAGGAGAGAGAUGCCAUGUAC